UGUGUUUCUUUUUCAUUUCAGUUGCCUGUUGGUAAGUACAAUUGCCUUCUUUAAUUGCAUAUUGAAAUAUGUUUUAUGACUUUUAUUCUGCUAUGCUUUUUUCAUUUCAGUUUGGCAGAUGUAAGUACACUUCAUUUAUGUAAAAACUGAAUAUGAUUGUUGUGCUAUACAAAAUGUGCUUUUUUCAAUUUCAGGUCAGCAAUGGUAAGUAUAGUGUGUUUCUUUAUGUAUAAUUUUGUAUACAUAUUGUUUUUUUCAUCAUAGCAUGUCUUUUAUAUUUAUGCUUUGUGUAAGUAAAAUGUUCAUAAAUCAUUCUUAUCUUCAAACUAAAAAUGUAUUGUGCUAUGCAAAAUGUCUGUAUGAUUUCAGUUGCCAGAGGUGAGUACCAUUACAGUUGAAAAGUUAGUUUUGUUUAGUUAAAGUUUUGGUUCACAGUUCUGUUUGUUAUUUGGCAAAAUUUACAUGUAUGCAUUGAGUCUUGAUUUCAGCUAGAUUGUGGACUGAAGAAGAUUGCCAGCAGAGGGAUUGGAUACAAGAUACAAAGUAAGUACUGAGUUUCUUACUAAAAGUUUUGAGUUGUAUUCAUCGUGUGUUAAUAUGCUAUGAUUGCUAUGAACAUGACUUUUGUAUUUCAGCGAAGACAACAUAGGUAAGUAAAAUUGUUAUCUGUUUCAUGUUUACUGUUACAGUUCAAUAUUGUGUUUAUAAAUUGUAAGUUGUACAAACACAUUCAAAAGUUUCUGAUCAUGCUUUCGAUUUCAUUUCAGCUUUACUGCUUGACGAGUGUUAUCAACUACUAGACGAGUCAGCUUUACUACCAGGCGAGCAGUGACAACAAGGCGCCUUUGUGGAAACAACACAACAAAAAACUGUACUGCUAGACGAGCAGUGACAGAAAGGCGCCUGAACAUGCAACACAAAACAAAAAAUGCCAAUAUCCAAACCUUGAUGUGGACACCGAGUAGUCAAUACAUACGUGUGGCGUACAGCUGCGACAAAACCGUGGGUCCAUCGCACCGAUAACUCGAACAUUGGCCCGCGUAUGGACAUCAGUGCAACUUUGUGAAUCCAUGUAACUUUGUGAAUCCAUGUAACAUUGCGAAUGUGUGUCGAUCGAAAAAUGUGUACAUUCUGCACUGAAACGAACUCGGUGUUGCAAGUGGCAAGUGUUGACAGUGUGUAUGUUUAUGUUUAUGUUUUUACAUGAAAAAUAAAGGAGAUUGUUCUCCUACCUUUUUUUUCCUUGUUUUAUUGUGCUGGCCAGCAAUAUUGAUGUAUUGAUGUAUGUGUUUGUGUUUAAACUAUGCAAUACCAAAAUCAAACAAAAAAUAAACAUUAACAGUCAUUAACUGUGUUUGGGCGGCCGAGGGGUUUAAGACUCCACAAGUGUGAAGCGCACUGAUAGCACUUGGGGGUAAACACCUCGGUAUUUCGGUGCUAAAAUGUUUUCACGGUGCUUAUUUUGACGCACUGUUAGAACUACCAACCAGUAAAUGAUUGCUUGAUUUAUAAAACUAAUAUUCAGUCUCUACUU